rnacentral:rRNA from 1 species
AUCCUGGCUCAGGAUGAACGCUGGCGGCGUGCCUAACACAUGCAAGUCGAACGAAGCACUUCUGGUUUGAGAUUCGUCAAGAACCGGAUUUGACUUAGUGGCGACGGGUGAGUAAUGUAUGAGCAACCUGCCUUUCAGAGGGGGACAACAGUUGGAAACGACUGCUAAUACCGCAUAAUGUAUUUUGGGGGCAUCCCUGAGAUACCAAAGGAGCAAUCCGCUGAAAGAUGGGCUCAUAUCUGAUUAGUUAGUUGGCAGGGUAACGGCCUACCAAGACUGCGAUCAGUAGCCGGACUGAGAGGUUGAACGGCCACAUUGGGACUGAGAUACGGCCCAGACUCCUACGGGAGGCAGCAGUGGGGAAUAUUGGGCAAUGGGCGAAAGCCUGACCCAGCAACGCCGCGUGAAGGAAGAAGGUCUUCGGAUUGUAAACUUCUUUUAUGAGGGACGAAGGAUGUGACGGUACCUCAUGAAUAAGCCACGGCUAACUACGUGCC